rnacentral:lncRNA from 1 species
GAUUUAGAGGGGGAUGAAGUAGAAAGAGAAACAGAUCGUGAUGCAGUCUGAAGGCAUGUUUAUCUGGAGAUGUGACAUUCUACGUGGCAGUGGCAGUGACAGGACAGCACCUGACAGCUCUGAGUGGUGGCAACGAUCUCCUGCAACUUCUCAGUAGGACUUUUAUUUCUUUUUCAGAUAUAAAUUAGUUUCCUUAGGUCUAACACUGCCUAUGUCAUAAGUUCUGAUACCUUUAUUUAAUUUUCAUUUUAGUCUGUUUCUUAAAUGACCACAAGUGAGAUGAUAACCUUGCCUAGCUAAAGCCCUUACAUUAUAAGGAGUUCCA